GAAAAUUAGUGCACAAUUUGUAUGAAUUUGAUUAAAUUAGUACAUGCAUGAGGUUUGUCUUCUCCUUCAUACA